rnacentral:rRNA from 1 species
GACGAACGCUGGCGGCGUGCUUAACACAUGCAAGUCGAACGGAAAGGCCCUGCUUUUGUGGGGUGCUCGAGUGGCGAACGGGUGAGUAACACGUGAGUAACCUGCCCUUGACUUUGGGAUAACUUCAGGAAACUGGGGAUCAUAUAGGAUAGGAGAUCCUGCUGCAUGGUGGGGGUUGGAAAGUUUCGGAGGUUGGGGAUGGACUCGCGGCUUAUCAGCUUGUUGGUGGGGUAGUGGCUUACCAAGGCUUUGACGGGUAGCCGGCCUGAGAGGGUGACCGGCCACAUUGGGACUGGGGUACGGCCCAGACUCCUACGGGAGGCAGCAGUGGGGAAUAUUGCACAAUGGGCGGAAGCCGUAUGCAGCAACGCCGCGUGCGGGAUGACGGCCUUCGGGGUGUAAACCGCUUUCGCCUGUGACGAAGCGUGAGUGACGGUAAUGGGUAAAGAAGCACCGGCUAACUACGUG